UACGGAGGGUGCAAGCGUUAUCCGGAUUCACUGGGUUUAAAGGGUGCGUAGGCGGAUUUGUAAGUCCGUGGUGAAAUCUCCGAGCUUAACUCGGAAGCUGCCAUGGAUACUAUAAGUCUUGAAUGUUGUGGAGGUUUGCGGAAUAUGUCAUGUAGCGGUGAAAUGCUUAGAUAUGACAUAGAACACCGAUUGCGAAGGCAGCAGGCUACACAAAUAUUGACGCUGAGGCACGAAAGCGUGGGGAUCAAACAGG
rnacentral:rRNA from 1 species